rnacentral:rRNA from 1 species
GACGAACGCUGGCGUGCGUGCUUAACACAUGCAAGUCGAACGGAAAGGCCCUGCUUUUGUGGGGUGCUCGAGUGGCGAACGGGUGAGUAACACGUGAGUAACCUGCCCUUGACUUUGGGAUAACUUCAGGAAACUGGGGCUAAUACCGGAUAGGAGCUCCUGCUGCAUGGUGGGGGUUGGAAAGUUUCGGCGGUUGGGGAUGGACUCGCGGCUUAUCAGCUUGUUGGUGGGGUAGUGGCUUACCAAGGCUUUGACGGGUAGCCGGCCUGAGAGGGUGACCGGCCACAUUGGGACUGAGAUACGGCCCAGACUCCUACGGGAGGCAGCAGUGGGGAAUAUUGCACAAUGGGCGGAAGCCUGAUGCAGCAACGCCGCGUGCGGGAUGACGGCCUUCGGGUUGUAAACCGCUUUCGCCUGUGACGAAGCGUGAGUGACGGUAAUGGGUAAAGAAGCACCGGCUAACUACGUGCCAGCAGCCGCGGUGAUACGUAGGGUGCGAGCGUUGUCCGGAUUUAUUGGGCGUAAAGGGCUCGUAGGUGGUUGAUCGCGUCGGAAGUGUAAUCUUGGGGCUUAACCCUGAGCGUGCUUUCGAUACGGGUUGACUUGAGGAAGGUAGGGGAGAAUGGAAUUCCUGGUGGAGCGGUGGAAUGCGCAGAUAUCAGGAGGAACACCAGUGGCGAAGGCGGUUCUCUGGGCCUUUCCUGACGCUGAGGAGCGAAAGCGUGGGGAGCGAACAGGCUUAGAUACCCUGGUAGUCCACGCUGUAAACGGUGGGUACUAGGUGUGGGGUCCAUUCCACGGGUUCCGUGCCGUAGCUAACGCUUUAAGUACCCCGCCUGGGGAGUACGGCCGCAAGGCUAAAACUCAAAGGAAUUGACGGGGCCCCGCACAAGCGGCGGAGCAUGCGGAUUAAUUCGAUGCAACGCGUAGAACCUUACCUGGGUUUGACAUGGAUCGGGAGUGCUCAGAGAUGGGUGUGCCUCUUUUGGGGUCGGUUCACAGGUGGUGCAUGGCUGUCGUCAGCUCGUGUCGUGAGAUGUUGGGUUAAGUCCCGCAACGAGCGCAACCCUUGUUCACUGUUGCCAGCACGUUAUGGUGGGGACUCAGUGGAGACCGCCGGGGUCAACUCGGAGGAAGGUGGGGAUGACGUCAAGUCAUCAUGCCCCUUAUGUCCAGGGCUUCACGCAUGCUACAAUGGCUGGUACAGAGAGUGGCGAGCCUGUGAGGGUGAGCGAAUCUCGGAAAGCCGGUCUCAGUUCGGAUUGGGGUCUGCAACUCGACCUCAUGAAGUCGGAGUCGCUAGUAAUCGCAGAUCAGCAACGCUGCGGUGAAUACGUUCCCGGGGC